UUGUCCAGUAGCACGGAUGCAUCACACCCCUAUACACAGAAAUAAAGAAGAUGUCAGAACAGGAUGGUAAAUGACUAGGAAUGUGAAACUGUAAUGUCGAUUGGGUGGAUUGGACACAUGCAGCAAAACUGUAGUGUCGAUUGACCAGGAACUAUCUUCAGCAAGCAUCAAUAUAUUGUUGUAGAAACAUGUAAAUAAUACUGCAGCAAAGAGGAAGCAGAAACCUUGACAAAGCAGUCAUGGAAAUGCAGCCUGACCAAGGAUGCUGCCAUCCUGGUCUCUUGGGCAACAGCCUGUGCCACGAUGGACUGCACAAUUUCCUUGGCCUUCGGGCACGAGUGGUCGUAGAACUGUGGGAACAAGCUAUACCAUGGGUUGGCACGAACGGUGCCUGCAAGGAGGAGUGGACAGGCAAGGCAGAGUACCAGCAAGCUACCCAUGGAACUAGCCAUGCCAGAGAACGUUUGUAAGCAUGCUGCCUUCUGCUACAGCUGGUGCUUAUCUCACUAACUAACACACGUGCGGUCGAUGCUGAUCGGGUCAAAGGAGAUGUGCGAUAUUGUACCAACUUUGGAGGACACGGGAUGCGUGAUGAUUCUGCGUUAGGUGCUUGCAUGGCCUACAUUCAUGUCUGGAGCUGGUUCCUGGAGCUGGAAGUACUUUCAACUGUUCCAAGGCUUUGUCACGGGACCAGCUGCCUUAUUCUUCUGCAGUUCUGCGCAUCAGUGACCGUUUCUUGAAGAAAACAACAGCGUGCCACAGAGAGUCUCAGAGACUUGCAUAUGACUUGCAGGUAUGUUCAUGCUAAGUGUAUGCAUGGGAACCGUUAUUGUUGAUCACGGAUAUUGUUACACCAGAGACCUAGUACUGUUGUAAUCUUUAUGCAAAUUCAUGUCCUAGUUCAAUAUACAUAGGUAGAAUGAUCAUAAAAAUAUUCAUAUUAAAGUGAGCUUGUAGUUUUCAAGUUUGUAUUGAGCUUUACACCGCGCCACUGUUUAAAACACAAGAUUUCUCCUCAACCCCAUAUAUCAGCUGGAAUAAUCCAGCUGUAUUUUUCAUUUUCAUGGAUCUUUUAUAGAAUCUUUGAUGACUCCUGUUA